rnacentral:rRNA from 1 species
AACGAACGCUGGCGGCGUGCCUAACACAUGCAAGUCGAACGUGAUUGAAGAGCUUGCUCUUCAUGAAAGUGGCGCACGGGUGAGUAACGCGUAGAUAAUCUACCUGGUGAUUUGGGGUAACAGUUCGAAAGGACAGCUAAUACCGAAUAAGCCCAAGGAGUCUUUGGAUUCUGCGGGAAAAGGGGGGGACCUUCUGGCCUUCCGUCAUCAGAUGAGUCUGCGUACCAUUAGCUAUUUGGUAGGGUAAAGGCCUACCAAGGCGACGAUGGUUAGCUGGUCUGGGAGGAUGAUCAGCCACACUGGAACUGAGACACGGUCCAGACUCCUACGGGAGGCAGCAGUGGGGAAUUUUGCGCAAUGGGGGAAACCCUGACGCAGCAACGCCGCGUGAGUGAUGAAGGCCCUUGGGUCGUAAAGCUCUGACAGAGGGAAAGAAAUGCAGGGGAGCUAAUAUCUCCUUUGCUUGACGGUACCCUCAAAGGAAGCACCGGCUAACUCCGUGCCAGCAGCCGCAGUAACAC